rnacentral:rRNA from 1 species
GAUGAACGCUGGCGGCGUGCCUAAUACAUGCAAGUCGAACGCACAGCGAAAGGUGCUUGCACCUUUCAAGUGAGUGGCGAACGGGUGAGUAACACGUGGACAACCUGCCUCAAGGCCGGGGAUAACAUUUGGAAACAGAUGCUAAUACCGAAUAAAACUCAGUGUCGCAUGACACAAAGUUAAAAGGCGCUUUGGCGUCACCUAGAGAUGGAUCCGCGGUGCAUUAGUUAGUUGGUGGGGUAAAGGCCUACCAAGACAAUGAUGCAUAGCCGAGUUGAGAGACUGAUCGGCCAAAUUGGGACUGAGACACGGCCCAAACUCCUACGGGAGGCUGCAGUAGGGAAUCUUCCACAAUGGGCGAGAGCCUGAUGGAGCAACGCCGCGUGUGUGAUGAAGGCUUUCGGGUCGUAAAGCACUGUUGUAUGGGAAGAACAGCUAGAAUAGGGAAUGAUUUUAGUUUGACGGUACCAUACCAGAAAGGGACGGCUAAAUACGUGCCAGCCGCCGCAGUAA